GACAGGUGUUCAAACAAAAACGUGAACACACAUGCUCACAGCAGCACAAUAACCAAAAGGAGGAAGCAACCCCAGUGGUCGUCAGCGGGUGCACGAAUGAACAGAACGUGGUAUCUCCACACAGUGGACUGCUACUCAGCCAUAAAAAGGAGUGAAGUACAGACACAGGCGACACACGGAUGGACCUCAAAAAUGUGGUUAAGUGAAGGCAGCCAGACACGAAAGGACCACCCCUGAUGCCGUUUAUCUGAACCGCCAGUGAAGAUAAAUCCACAGAGACAAAAGGAACCAGAGGUUCAGAGAGGCCCAGCCACCUGCUGAGUAGCUCAGAGAGGGAAGGGGGGGCAGCGGGAUCUGGGACCCACACUUCCUGCCCCCGGACUGCCAGAGAGAAGCGGUGUCAUUGCCAGCCCAGAACCACGUGACAGAACAGCCUGUCAGACCCAGGGGAAGCCUCCCGCCAUCUGCUCUGUCCAUGGGGCCUGAAAUCGACGGCCACAGACGUGGCCGGCGGUGCAUCGGUGAGGCCGCAGGAGCCGGGCACCUCCACCUCAGCGUCUCGCUUUUCCCAUGAAUUCCCCAACAGCUGGCCCCACAAACCACAGCCCAGGAGAGGCGCCCCAGUACGGGGGCAAACGGUCCCACCAUGGCAGGGACCCCCACCCACCUGGCCCCAGCUGCCCCUCUGAGUCCUUUCCCUGGACUGAGCACCCAUUCUAAGGUAACCCAUCCCCCACCAUCAGGUUUCUGCAUUGUGCAGCCCCAGCCCCAAACCAACCCCAGGAUCCUGGCAACGUUCCCCAGGCCAGGGCCAGGGCAGCACUCCAGGGGAGAGACCUGCCCCCUGCCCCGCCCUCGCUCGCUCUCCACAGGUGGCACUACCACUCUUACCACU